GGAGGAAUAUUGGUCAAUGGGCGCGAGCCUGAACCAGCCAAGUAGCGUGCAGGAUGACGGCCCUAUGGGUUGUAAACUGCUUUUGUGCGGGGAUAAAGUGUGCCACGUGUGGCAUAUUGCAGGUACCGCAUGAAUAAGGACCGGCUAAUUCCGUGCCAGCAGCCGCGGUAAUACGGAAGGUCCGGGCGUUAUCCGGAUUUAUUGGGUUUAAAGGGAGCGUAGGCCGCCUUUUAAGCGUGUUGUGAAAUGCAGUUGCCCAACAUCUGCACUGCAGCGCGAACUGGAGGGCUUGAGUUCACGGAAAGUUGGCGGAAUUCGUUGUGUAGCGGUGAAAUGCUUAGAUAUGACGAAGAACUCCGAUUGCGAAGGCAGCUGCUAUAGUGUUACUGACGCUGAAGCUCGAAAGUGC
rnacentral:rRNA from 1 species